rnacentral:rRNA from 1 species
AUAUUUAAUAGAAAUAAUUAUUAAUAAAAUCUGCUCAAUGACAAUUAAAUAGCCGCAGUUCAUACUGUGCUAAGGUAGCAUAAUCACUUGUUUUUUAAUUAAAAACUAGAAUGAAAGAUCUUACAUUUCAAUUAUUAUAUUAAAUUUCAUUUUUAAAAUUAUUUUUAAUGUAAAAAAACAUUAAUUAACAAGAAAGACGAUAAGACCCUAUUGAACUUAACUUUGGUUAAACUGGGGUAGUUUAAUAAUUAUUACUUAAUCAUACACAUAAACAUAAAUGACCUUAUAAAAUCAAUUUAAUGAUCAAGUUACCAUAGGGAUAACAGCGUAAUAAUUUUCCAUAGAUCUUAUAUAAAAAAAUGAUUGCGACCUCGAUGUUGAAUUAAUUAAUCUAUUACAUGUAAAAAUGUAAAAAGAAAGUCUGUUCGACUAAUAAAUAAUUACAUG